rnacentral:rRNA from 1 species
AUUGAACGCUGGCGGCAGGCCUAACACAUGCAAGUCGAACGAGUGGCGGACGGGUGAGUAAUGUCUUGGAAACUGGCUGAUGGAGGGGGAUAACUACUGGAAACGGUAGCUCAUACCGCAUACAAUCAGAUGAGCCCAGAUGGGAUUAUCUAGUUGGUGAGGUAACGGCUCACCAAGGCGACGAUGCCUAGCUGGUCUGAGAGGAUGAGCGGCCACACUGGGACUGAGACACGGUCCAGACUCCUACGGGAGGCAGCAGUGGGGAAUAUUCGACAAUGGGCGCAAGCCUGAUGGAGCCAUGCCGCGUUUAUGAAGAAGGCCUUCGGUUUGUAAAGUACUUUCAUCGGGGAGGCGUUACCCGAAGAAGAAGCACCGGCUAACUCCGUGCCAGCAGCCGCGGUAAUAC